rnacentral:lncRNA from 1 species
AAUAAUAAUGAUAAAAUAGGGUAAAAUUAUUUUUGGGAUUUAAUUGAAGUUGAUUUUGGAAAAAAAGGGUGAAAAUUUAGAUUAUGGGGGUGUUUUUGAAAAGAAAAUCGAAAACCGGGGGUCAAAACACAAUUUCGGAAAGUUGCGCCACGUCAGCAACCACGUUAGCAGCCCAGUCAGCAGCCUCGGCCAACUAGAACACGCCGCGUGGCAAGGAAGCUGACGCAGGAGACCACGCGGACGGAGCCACAUGAGCGAUCCGCGUGCACUCGAUCGAACGGUCCAGAUCUCACACGUGCGGAUGGCCCAGAUCUCACGUACACGGACGACCCAAAUCUCACGCGUGCGGACGACCCAGAUUGAAUCACGCACGGACGGCCCAGAUCGCAUCGCGAUGGACGACCCAGAUUUAUUCCCAUUUUAAUCGCGAUUGGACUGCCCAGAUUAAAACGUUAUGGACGGCUGAGAUUAAAAGAGAAAGGUUAUAAAUAACCUCACCCACACCCGACCCCAAACCCUAGCUGCCAGUGCCUCGUCGGAGAAGAAGAACCAGACGCCGGAGGAGCCUGCCACUGCCACCUGCCACCGCACCGGAGGGUUUUCUGACCACCAAACGAGGUAAAGUUUCUUCAUUUGGCUCAUUUUUCGAUGCUGAAUCUGCCUAUGGCCAAAUCAGAGCCAAACCACCGGCCAAUCGACCGAAAAACACCACCGAAGUCCAGCGGCACCGCCGCGGCUUCUUUCGGUUUUUGCCAAUGAUGAGACCCUUUCGGUUCCUGUUUGAUGCAAUUUUUAUACCACUGUGAUCACCGUCCUUUUCUCUACAGGUUGACCGGAGCAAAACAUUAAAACGCGAC